rnacentral:rRNA from 1 species
GGGUCAGUAGGUUGGUCGUGCCACCGGUACGUACUGGUCUCACUGAUUCCUCCUUCCCGAAGAAACGUAAUGCCAUUAAUUUGGUGUUGCGGGGAAACAGGACUGUUACUUUGAAAAAAUUAGAGUGUUUAAAGCAAGCUAACGCUUGAAUACAUUAGCAUGGAAUAAUGAAAUAGGACGAUCGAUCCUAUUUUGUUGGUUUCUAGGAUUGACGUA